GGUUCGGUGGCUCAGAUUGAACGCUGGCGGAUAGCACUGCACAUGCAAGUCGGGCAACUGGCUUCGGUCUGGCGGUGGCGAGUGGCGAACGGGUGAGGAAGUAAUGUAUCGGAACGUGCUAGUAGCGGGGGAUAACUACGCGAGCGUAGCUAAUACCACAUACCUUCGGGAAAGCGGGGGACCUUCGGGCCUCGCACUAUUAGAGCGGCGAUAUCGGAUUAGAUAGUUGGUGGGGUAACGGCUCACAAAGGCGACGAUCCGUAGCUGGUUUGAGAGGACGACCAGCCACACUGGGACUGAGACACGGCCCAGACUCCUACAGGAGGCAGCAGUGGGGAAUUUUGGACAAUGGAAACCUGAUCCAGCCAUCGCGUGUGCGAUGAAGGCCUUCGGGUUAUGUAAAGCACUUUUGGCAGGAAAGAAACGGCACGGGAUAAUACCCCGUGCAACUGACCCGGUACCUGCAGAAUAAGCACCGGCUAACUACGUGCCAGCAGCCGCGGUAAUACGUAGGGUGCAGCGUUAAUCGGAAUUACUGGGCGUAAAGCGUGCGCAGGCGGUUCGGAAAGAAAGAUGCUGAAAUCCCAGAGCUUAACUUUGGAACUGCAUUUUUAACUACCGAGCUAGAGUGUCAGAGGGAGGUGGAAUUCCGCGUGUAGCAGUGAAAUGCGUAGAUAUGCGGAGGAACACCGAUGGCGAAGGCAGCCUCCUGGGAUAACACUGACGCUCAUGCACGAAAGCGUGGGGAGCAAACAGGAUUAGAUACCCUGGUAGUCCAUGCCCUAAACGAUGUCAACUAGCUGUUGGGGCCUUCGGGCCUUGGUAGCGCAACUAACGCGUGAAGUUGACCGCCUGGGGAGGAUUACGGUCGCAAGAUUAAAACUCAAAGGAAUUGACGGGGACCCGCACAAGCGGUGGAUGAUGUGGAUUAAUUCGAUGCAACGCGAAAAGGCCGCCUACCCUUGACAUGUCUGGAAUCCCGAAGUUGGGAGUGCUCGCAAGAGAACCGGAACACAGGUGCUGCAUGGCUGUCGUCAGCUCGUGUCGUGAGAUGUUGGGUUAAGUCCGCAACGAGCGCAACCCUUGUCGUAGUUGCUACGAAAGACGCGCUCUAAUGAGACUGCCGGUGAUAAACCGGAGGAAGGUGGGAAUGACGUCAAGUCCUCAUGGCCCUUAUGGGUAGGGCUUCACACGUCAUACAAUGGUCGGGACAGAGGGUCGCCAACCCCGCGAGGGGGAGCCAAUCCCAGAAACCCGAUCGUAGUCCGGAUCGCAGUCUGCAACUCGACUGCGUGAAGUCGGAAUCGCUGGUAAUCGCGGAUCAGCAUGUCGCGGUGAAUACGUUCCCGGGUCUUGUACACCGCCCGUCACACCAUGGGAGUGGGUUUUACCAGAAGUAGUUAGCCUAACCGUAAGGAGGGCGAUUACCACGGUAGGAUUCAUGACUGGGGUGAAGUCGUAACAAGGUAG
rnacentral:rRNA from 1 species